AUAUGGGUAGUCUAAAGCAGGCAUAAAAACAUAGAAGGAAAUACUUGGGCACUAAUCUCUAUCUUCCAGCAGUCCCUGUGCAGACUGUUAGCUUCAUUAGCCUCCAUGUUGCUUUGUUGUGAUGGGAGUGUGUGACCUGCAAAGAUUGUGAGAAGAAUCGCUCCAGCUUGCUCAAAUCUGGGUUCAGAUGUCCACUACAAGACAAAAAAAAUGACCUAAAGGGCAAAAGCACCCAAAAGAAACCAGUGUGAGAUGUUUUGUUACCUCCAGACACGGGAGGUGAGGGUGCUGCUGGGUGCAGCACGUAGGAGGCAGACCAGCUCAAAUGCAAAUGGAUGGACUUUGGCGGGUUAAAGACUGUUCCAUCUGACUGCACCUGCUCAUUUCAUCCAUUGGGCAAUGACAUUGUCAAAGUUCAAGUCCGGAUGUUUGAAAACAGAUAAUUCAGUCUCUAAAGGUUUAUUUUUAAUUUUAUUUUAUUAUUAAAACAACUCCCAAAAUCCAUCAAGAACAUGGAGCGAGUGGGAAAUUUGGUAAAUGGACGGGUUCAUUAUAUGGCACGCUUUUCUAAAGAGUGCUUUCUGUCUAACAUUCACUCGCCGAUGAACAAAGAAUAUAUUUAUAUACGAGCCUUGUUUGGAAUAA